rnacentral:rRNA from 2 species
CAUCCUCCAAGGCUAAAUACUCCUGACUGACCGAUAGUGAACCAGUACCGUGAGGGAAAGGCGAAAAGAACCCCGGCGAGGGGAGUGAAAAAGAACCUGAAACCGUGUACGUACAAGCAGUGGGAGCCCCACCACUAAGCCAGUGGUGAACUCCACAUACGCAUCCUUUGCUGAGGAUACGGUUAACGGAGCGAAAGCGACGUUCAACCGCAAAAGAAGCAGAGGGGGCUUAGUGGUGGGGUGACUGCGUACCUUUUGUAUAAUGGGUCAGCGACUUAUAUUCUGUAGCAAGGUUAACCGAAUAGGGGAGCCGGAGGGAAACCGAGUCUUAAUUGGGCGUUAAGUUGCAGGGUAUAGACCCGAAACCCGGUGAUCUAGCCAUGGGCAGGUUGAAGGUUGGGUAACACUAACUGGAGGACCGAACCGACUAAUGUUGAAAAAUUAGCGGAUGACCUGUGGCU